rnacentral:misc_RNA from 1 species
CCAUAUUUGAAAAUCACGAUUUGAAUAUCCUGUUUAUUUGAACAUUUGCGCAGGGCAUUUCCCUAUAUGGCCUCUUUCAGCUUAGGCCAAAGUGGCGCACAACCUGUUAUGCAAUGCAGCAUGCAUCUGCCAUUUUGUAUUUAUAUACACUGUGCCAUUUUGCACCCAUUUUGAAGUGAAGUUACUUCGAUUACUUCGGAGGGUGUGGACGUGGAGUUGGUGUCAGUGUGGAGGUUAUGUUGAUGUUGCAGGGCGCAUAGCUGGAUCAUAUGGGAAGAGGAUGCUGCUUGCUGCUCUCCACUCCCGUGGCAGACAUAAAGGCGCGCAGCGUCACUCACGUAAAAAUGGACGAGAGGACUUCGACGAGCCAGGCUCUGAAAAUGAGGGCGGUCCGGCUGAUGAUCGCCAAGAGGACGAUGAAGGAGGUGAGGCGCAUUCACUACAUCUAUAGUGUGUUCCAUGUCAAGCUUGCGGCUGAAGUGCUCUGUUGAAGGCAGUGCGUGAUUUCUGUGCAUACAUCUUACAUUCUAAGACUCAAAUUAUUGAAUGGAGUAGCGCGCUCAGCGAAUUGCCUGGAACUGCCAAGGGGACUCCGACCGCAAGCUUGAUAUGGAACAGACUAUAGUCCGGCCUGAAGUUUUAUAGUGGGAGGGCAAUUGCAUAGGUGAGUUCAUAUGCAUUUAUUGAAGCACUGCGAUCGAUGCAGGAU